GUCGGCCAACAUGCCGCCGAUCGGCACCAGCGACGUCAUAAUCAGAAGGGGAGUAAAAUCCAAACGUGACGAGCGGAAUGAUCGACGGGCCCUCGAAAUUCGGAGCGUUCGUAAUAAGCCUCAUCAUGCUGUGGCACGAUCCGACCAAUGCCAAAUGUUCAAAAUUUUAAACGUAUGACGUUUUACUUGUUACAUGUUCAUCUUCACCCUCUUUGUCCUAUUAUUAAAUGGUAUCAGUAAUAUGUGCUGUAAUACAA